rnacentral:lncRNA from 1 species
AUUGUGUUUUGCUGUUUUACAGGUCGACAUCUGUAAGCUUUUCCCCAGCAGUAUUUUUUCCGAGCAAGUUUGAGAGCUGUCAGAGUUGUGUUCCCUUGCAGAGGUGCCUGUGGAUAGUAUCUUCUUUCCCCAGCAGAUCUAAGGAUUGCCUACCUCCAGCAGGCUUGUGUUGGCAGGUUCCCCAACUGAGAUCCCCGCUGAAUGCCUGGCAGACGUUUCCCCAGGAAUUCCCCCGGCGGAGUUUGUCAUGAGAAUGUUGUUCCCCAGCAGUUGGGUUUGUGAUACGUUAUCCCCAGCACGGCCGUGAGUGCUUCUC